rnacentral:rRNA from 1 species
CGACCGGCGGAUGGGUGAGUAACGCGUAUGCAAUCUACCUUGUACAGGGGCAUAACCCGGAGAAAUCCGGACUAAUACCCCAUGGGGCUUUAGGGAGGCAUCUUUUUAAAGCUAAAGAUUUAUCGGUACAAGAUGAGCAUGCGUAUCAUUAGAUAGUUGGUAAGGUAACGGCUUACCAAGUCUACGAUGAUUAGGGGUUCUGAGAGGAUAAUCCCCCACACUGGGACUGAGACACGGCCCAG